rnacentral:rRNA from 1 species
UACGAGGGGGCUAGCGUUGCUCGGAAUCCCUGGGCGUAAGGGGUGCGUAGGCGGGUCUUUAAGUCAGGGGUGAAAUCCUGGAGCUCAACUCCAGAACUGCCUUUGAUACUGAGGAUCUUGAGUACGGGAGAGGUGAGUGGAACUGCGAGUGUAGAGGUGAAAUUCGUAGAUAUUCGCAAGAACACCAGUGGCGAAGGCGGCUCACUGGCCCGUAACUGACGCUGAGGCACGAAAGCGUGGGGAGCAAACAGG